CAACAGUAAGUCUCAACAGAAAGAGAAUACAAACUAUCCUUUAUAUCACCACCACAGAUGGACCAGCUUCAGAGGGACCAACUUGUCAGCAGCAGAACUUUAGUAUUUGGUUCUGCACAGCUCUCAACUCUGACCUGUGACCUCUGGGGAAGCACAGUGAGAGGAAUCUGCUGUGACGCCUCUUGUUUUCCUGAUCUAUUAUACAGGAAAUCUUAA
rnacentral:lncRNA from 1 species